GAUCACUUUUGCUUUCAAAGGAGACUAUUGGGGGGAAAAACAGAUCCUGAUUGCUCAAGAUUUCCCACAAUAUGGGAGAAGGAGAAUCAAGCCUACUUAUUUGGAAGUUAAAGGUUGCUUCAUCAUGACUUUGACUCUUCUAAAAAUAAAAUCUGCUAUUGAAAGAAUAAUUUAUCAUGGACUCAAAAGAUUAAGAAUCUGUCUACAAAGAAAAUGGAGGAAGAAUUUUUCCCAAGGAAGUUUCUGGAAUUAGAAAUAUUAUGCAAAUGUUAUUAUACCCAUGGAGAUGAUAACUUUGAUAGAAACAGCAUUCAUGCAUGUUUAAAUUUGUCAUAUUUAUUAAAACAUAUACUACUAUUACAGCAACAAUAAAAAAG